CCUAAUCAGACUCCUGAUCUAGAGAGGAAGUUCAGGCAGCCCUGCUGCAGACAGCCUGGCUGGGUCCAGUGCCCUGUACUGGAGAGAAAAACCCUUCACUGUCUGGAUGUGGAGGGGAGGUGGGAUUCCACUCUGUCCUCCAGGCCUCUCCUUCCUCCCCAGAACAAAAGGCCAUCUGGUGAAAUCUUGCACACAUGUACUUGUCCACAUGUACACACAAGUACAAACACACACACCUUCACUCCAGCUGCAGCAGAGGGCUGGAGGGAGGAACGGCCCAAAAGGCAGUAAAGUCAUUGAGUUCCUGAGCCUAGAUCUUAGCCAAGCCUGCCUCAUCAUGUCAUGGCUCAUGCUGGGUUAGAGAAUACUCCCAACGGCCCUUUGGUCAGGGCCUUGCUGUGCUAUCUGGGACAAGCAGUUGGGCCUCAUCUGUGGACAAGAGUUCCCACCAAUCUGAUGAGGUUGAUGUAUUAGUUACUUUGCUCGUGGCUGUGACAAAAUGAAUACCUCGCAGAAGCAAGCCUCAGGACUCUAACCCACGGAAUAAGGAGACAAACAUCUAGGCAGAGUCCUCUCGGCUGGAGGCACACCCAUGGACCCACUCAGAGGAAUGGCGUGAGUGUGGUUGGCAACAAUAGGAUCAUGACUCCACACAGACAAGAAAGGGAAGGGAGUGAGAGUGGAUUGUGGCUCCUGGUGAGUGUGGUGUCGAAAAUGCCCUGCCUCUGGCUCAGACUAAA